AGCUUUGCGCAGUGGCAGUAUCAUAGCCAAUGAGGUUUAUCCGAGGCGCGAUUAUUGCUAAUUGAAACUAUAUUAGUUCACAUCAGCCCGGCACGAACGCGAGGUUUGGAUCCGUGCGGAAUGAGUUAUGCCAAUUAAUCAAUUUA
rnacentral:snRNA from 1 species